GGUGAUCUUGGUAGCUCCUUCAAAGUUGGAAGGUGAUGGCCUCUCAUUUUCAGGUUGUCUCCAACAUCUUGGCUUCUGUGUAUUUUAGGCUCGUGUUGGGAUUUUUUGGCCAUCAAUUAUGAAGAUGAGAUCUCUAUGCAUCCCCGAAGAGGCUCGAAGCACAAUCAUGAAUUUCUUCGCAUUUCCCUAAACAUCUUUGUUUGCAUUGUGCUAUACAAUGUAUGUUUCUAGAUCUUCUUAUCAUUACAGCAUUGGCUACAUAUUUAUCAUCGGUUUGCAUGAAUGGUUGUAGAGGCUUCGUUUUGUCAUGGCAAUUACCAAUUAUCAUUAUUUCUCUUUAUUCUUUAAUUUUCUGCUUUAUAUUCUCUUUUCAGCUUGUCAUUGCCUCGAACUCGUCUUAACGUCUUAACUCUAGCCAAUGCAAAACCACUUAUUGCAUUAAUGCGCAUUACUAAUUGCAAUAUGUUAAACAAACCUUUAUAUGUUUUUGAAGGUUAAUGCGUUCCCAAUCACUGUUAUGUUUGGUAUGUGCUUGAUCUUCCUCUUUGUUGCAUCCAUUCUGCAGAGACGGCUCCUCGCCAUUGUAGAGAAACCAAGUGAGUAUAGUGUAUCUAUAGUUAAACUUUAAUGCCAUCAAAGUCAGGACUAUGAUCCAGUUGUUUAAAUCUCAGCAUCCUUUUGGAAGUUAAUAAUCAGCACCUUAACUAAUAAAUUUCGACCCUUUCUAUUUAUUUCGUUUAUAGAGACAGAAGAUUGGACUAUGCUGAAGGAAAAGAAUUUCGAGGCUGAGCUACUAUAUGUUCCUUGAUAACAUUAGGCCCUAUUUGUGCCCCAUUAAUUUGAAGAACUAUAUUAUGGAAUAGUGAUUGAUGGAGAAUGUGU
rnacentral:lncRNA from 1 species